GAUGAAGAACGCAGCGAAAUGCGAUAAGUAAUGUGAAUUGCAGAAUUCCGUGAAUCAUCGAGUCUUUGAACGCACAUUGCGCCCCCUGGUAUUCCGGGGGGCAUGCCUGUCCGAGCGUCAUUGCUGCCUCAAGCACGGCUUGUGUGUUGGGCCUCCGUCCUCCUCCCGGGGGACGGGCCCGAAAGGCAGCGGCGGCACCGCGUCCGGUCCUCGAGCGUAUGGGGCUUCGUCACCCGCUCUUGUAGGCCCGGCCGGCGCUUGCCGACACAUCAAUCUUUUUUCCAGGUUGACCUCGGAUCAGGUAGGGAUACCCGCUGAACUUAAGCAUAUCAAUAAGCGGAGGA
rnacentral:misc_RNA from 1 species